ACAUACUAGAUGCCGUUGCCCACUUUAAAAUUAAUGCAAGAAUUUCAGCAUUCCAAAGUAUGAUUAAAUACCACCAAUUUAUUUUAUUUUAUUCCAAAUUUUAUAUUACUUUAUGUGAGGUAUGCUAUUUACUGCCAGAUUUACACGGCUAGGUUAGAGUGAUCAUCCUUGGGAACAUUAAUAAUCCUUGUUUUAACAUGUCAGAAUUGUCAGAAGUUAAUUGCACUAUUGCUGUCUUUUUGCAGAGACCUAUUGAUUGCUACAGAGCAGUGAUGGAAGACAGUGAACAGUCAGAAAACAGCCUUGUGCAGGAAACAGCCAGGACCACAAUGAAGAUUGUGGCCAAAGAACAAGUUGCUGUCACAAAAUACCCCUACCAUAUCCCACAGGUCAAACAGGUUUCCUCUGAAGACCUGCUGAAGUGGAAAUUCCUUUGGCAGCCUUGCAGCUUUUAUGGCUCCAGGCCUAUCCACGCCUCCUCUGGGAGUGGCUGGACUGUUCAGCUGUGACUCGUGCUGUGACAUGCUGUGACUCUUGGGGUGUCCUGUGCAGGGUCAGAAGUUGGACUUGAUGAUCCUGCUGUAUCCCUUCUAAUUCCUGGUAUUGUAUGACUCUAUGACUCCAAAGCCACACCUCACAGCACAGGAAAUGAGAACAGUGAUCUGAUUUCUUGGCCAAGCCCUGACAGACUGCCUUCAGAAGGAGAAGAUGGGAAACUGAUUUUUAACAGUGACUCAGUGUCAUCAUCUUCAGCCCAGCCCUGACUCAAACUAUCAAACAACCUGUACUGAAUCAGGUAGAAAUCUGCGCCCCAGGUUUCCUGCAUGCAAGCAAAACAAACACAAGGACUGGACAAGGCAACCACAACAACACAACACUGUGAAAAUGCCUACUCAUGCCAGAGAGGUCACUGCUGUGGAUGAGUCUUUCAGAGGCUGGACAUCGAUUAAAAUUUGUGAAAAUAUCUCCUCACUGAACCAGUUCAGCCUGCAUAGGUUAAACUAGGUGAACUGAUGGUCUUUCCUUGCCUGAACACGUGUCAAGAAGGCAUGGAGUGGGAGAGAAAUUCAGAAACAAGAUGCUGUAUAUCAUCUGGCAUGUUUCCACUGACGUCUCUGGAGCUAAAAAAAUUGCCUGAGAUGAUUAUGGGACCUAGAUGCUUCAUUUUGUGAAGUGCAUUUUUGAGUAGGUAUUUGAUGCCAAAACAGUGAAGCAUCUUCUUAAGGAAAGAUUAUCCCCAAGAUAAGUCUGAGGCAAACUGAGGAAAAAAGUGGGACUAUUUUCCAGAGUAACAGAAGUAACAAUAGCUUGUUUUUUUCAUUCAGUAAUGGAUGUUGUAUGCUCAGUUAAUAUUCAGUAAUUCAUAUUCUGAUUACUGCAUUUAAUAAUU